AUUGAACGCUAGCGGGAUGCUUUACACAUGCAAGUCGAACGGCAGCGCGGACUUCGGUCUGGCGGCGAGUGGCGAACGGGUGAGUAAUGUAUCGGAACGUGCCCAGUAGCGGGGGAUAACUACGCGAAAGCGUAGCUAAUACCGCAUACGCCCUACGGGGGAAAGCAGGGGAUCGUAAGACCUUUCACUAUUGGAGCGGCCGAUAUCGGAUUAGCUAGUUGGUGAGGUAACGGCUCACCAAGGCGACGAUCCGUAGCUGGUUUGAGAGGACGACCAGCCACACUGGGACUGAGACACGGCCCAGACUCCUACGGGAGGCAGCAGUGGGGAAUUUUGGACAAUGGGGGCAACCCUGAUCCAGCCAUCCCGCGUGUGCGAUGAAGGCCUUCGGGUUGUAAAGCACUUUUGGCAGGAAAGAAACGGCGCGGGCUAAUACCCCGUGGAACUGACGGUACCUGCAGAAUAAGCACCGGCUAACUACGUG
rnacentral:rRNA from 1 species